CACGUAGGGCGCAAGCGUUGUCCGGAAUUAUUGGGCGUAAAGAGCUCGUAGGCGGCUUGUCGCGUCGAAUGUGAAAACUCGGGGCUCAACUCCGAGCUUGCAUUCGAUACGGGCAGGCUAGAGUUCGGUAGGGGAGACUGGAAUUCCUGGUGUAGCGGUGGAAUGCGCAGAUAUCAGGAGGAACACCGAUGGCGAAGGCAGGUCACUGGGCCGCAACUGACGCUGAGGAGCGAAAGCAUGGGGAGCGAACAGG
rnacentral:rRNA from 1 species